GCUAAACACUGAGGAUCGUACGGAAAAGCAUGCCCAUUGAGUACAGAAGACAGAUAUAUCAAUAAAAUAAAAACGUGCUAGGAGCAGGGAAUGAAUAUACACACAGGGUGUCAUGGAGGCAGCAGAGAGGGAUAUUACAUGCAACCCGAAAAGGCAGAGUGAUAUCUGAGAAGGCUUUAUAGAGGCAGUAGGAGGUAGAAUAGAAGGUAAAAGAUGUGAGCCGAGGAUUAGAGAUGAGUAGAAAUAGUCCUGGUGAAGAGGGAGAGGAAGGAGGUUGCUAUUUCAGAGAGGAGGCUGGAGAUGUCACGCACAGGAUCUGCAAGAGCCAGGAGGGCAAGAUAUAGGUUGCAGAGAUGAACCAGGUCAGCUCACCAGCAGCCUUUGGUGCAGGCCAAGGCACUAGGAUUCCUUUCUGAGGACAAACAGGAACCAAUCUAAGGUUUUAAGCAGGUUGUAACAUGAUCAAAUUUAGAAAGAUAAUUCUGACCACAGUGAGGAGAAUGGAUUUGAAAGGAAUUAAACCAAGGGCAGGGAGGAGAUUGUUCAAUAGACCAGGUAAGAAAUGGGCCUGAACCAGCAAAACAAUGGAGCAAAUGUUUAGAAGAUAAAAUAAGCAGACCCUGAUUAAAUAUAGUGGAUAAAUAUAGUGAAUAAACUGAAAUGCAUCUAGAAGCUACCUGUUAAACAUCAGGUGGUCUAUUGGUUUGAGAAGUCACUUUUAUGCUUAAUAAUUUUCCCACUAGCUCUAGUUUUCAGAGUUUUAAGCAUUAAAGAUAUGUACAGGAAUAACAGCUUCAAAAAUCUAUUGAGCUCUCCUCUCCUUUAUGAAGCUAUAGAUGUGAGUUGUUAUGACUUAUUUUUGACUACUGACUCAUCUUUUAGUGUGGGGGUUAAACUAUAACACGGUUGGAGAGGAUUAGCCUUCUUUUCUACUGUUGCAUCUUUUUCUCUGGUACUUUAUUUCAGAGUUCCAAUGCCAUUUUUCAUAAGCAAUCUAGGUUUCAAAUUACCCUUGCCAGGUUUUUGUACAGGGAAUAUUAGCUUCUUAACAAAAUUAUCUUAAACAAUAAAUGUUUAUCAAGUCUAGAGUAUUAGUUGAGAAGAAUGUUAUAAUGUUAUGAAAGAUGAAAAGAAUGUCAUAAAGUUAUAAGGAAUGCUAC
rnacentral:lncRNA from 10 species